rnacentral:ncRNA from 1 species
UAUUGGGCGUAAAGCGUCUGUAGGUGGCUUUUCAAGUCCGCCGUCAAAUCCCAGGGCUCAACCCUGGACAGGCGGUGGAAACUACCAAGCUGGAGUACGGUAGGGGCAGAGGGAAUUUCCGGUGGAGCGGUGAAAUGCGUAGAGAUCGGAAAGAACAGUGAUAAGGUUGCUCAUACCAAUCCUAGACCCUGCAUUGGCAUGUGCU